CAGGGAAUUUUGCGCAAUGGGCGAAAGCCUGACGCAGCGACGCCGCGUGGGUGAUGAAGGCCUUCGGGUUGUAAAUCCCUUUUCUGGGGGAAGAGUAUGGACGGUACCCCAGGAAUAAGCCCCGGCUAACUACGUGCCAGCAGCCGCGGUAAUACGUAGGGGGCGAGCGUUGUCCGGAGUUACUGGGCGUAAAGGGCGCGUAGGCGGCCCAGGAAGUCCUCGGUGAAAUCUCCCGGCUCAACCGGGAGCCGCCCGGGGAUACUCCUGGACUUGAGGACAGCAGAGGAGGGUGGAAUUCCCGGUGUAGUGGUGAAAUGCGUAGAUAUCGGGAGGAACACCAGUGGCGAAGGCGGCCCUCUGGGCUGUACCUGACGCUGAGGCGCGAAAGCGUGGGGAGCGAACCGGAUUAGAUACCCGCGUAGUCC
rnacentral:rRNA from 1 species